UUACAGGCGUGAGCCACUGCGCCCAGCCUAAAAGCAGUGGCUGUGCUCCACGUAUAAUUCACAGAAAAUAGCUAUUGGUGAAGAAUAAAAACAACAUUGAGAGAUCUAUUAAACUUAUUAUCACCCCUUUUACUUAUUAAGAAACUAAUUAUUUUAAAAUAAGAAUCUUUAUGUCAAAUAAAAAUAAGAUGCUAAGACAAGGAAACUGUAAAGCCGUUCUUGUUUUGGCAUUUAAUUUCAAGUAAUUUGAGCUAAUGGCACUGUUAUGUACUGAUGUCACUCUCUCUCAUGGAAGGGAGUGGGAAGGGGAGGAAAAGAGAAAUCUUGGCUUCAAACAAAAUAUUCAGAUUAUGCUGAGACAUAAAACAAAAGUGGACAUUCUUUAUAAACCAUGCUGUGCUGAAAGUUGCUGCAUGCUGCUGACCCUCUGGGUGGGUUUGUGAGACCUGGGCACUCAUUGGGUAACUUGUAGAAUCCUUGCCUCUUCCUAGGAAUUUAGCCAGAAUAGCUUAAACAGUGGCUGGCCUAUUCUAUAGAAUGGGGAGAAGGUGACUCUUAAACAAGGCUGAAUGAAAAAUAGGCAUGGGCUGUCAGGUAUCUAUGAUUUGGUUGAAACAGAUAAACCAAGCUGAGAGGUAGAAUGUCCUCUCUGGUAUUCUGACAUUUUAGAAAACUGAGACGACCGUUAUCUUUCCCCUUCUUUCUC